rnacentral:rRNA from 1 species
AUACGGAGGGUGCAAGCGUUAUCCGGAAUCAUUGGGUUUAAAGGGUCCGCAGGCGGAUUAAUAAGUCAGUGGUGAAAUCCUCUCGCUCAACGAAAGAACUGCCAUUGAAACUGUUAGUCUUGAAUUCGGUCGAAGUAGGCGGAAUGUGUCAUGUAGCGGUGAAAUGCAUAGAUAUGACACAGAACACCGAUAGCGAAGGCAGCUUACUAGACCUGGAUUGACGCUCAUGGACGAAAGCGUGGGGAGCGAACAGGAUUAGAAACCCGAGUAGUCC